GUGAGACAGUACGGUCUCUAUCUACCAUGCGCGUUAGGAAACUUGAGAGGAGCCGACCAUAGUACGAGAGGACCUGGUUGGACGGACCUCCUGUGUACCAGUUAUCCCGCCAGGGGUAGCGCUGGGUAGCGGUGUCCGGAAGGGAUAAACGCUGAAAGCAUCUAAGCGUGAAACCCGCCUCAAGAUUAGGUUUCCCGCCCCGCAAGGGGCCUGAAGGACCCCGGAAGACUACCGGGUUGAUAGGCCGCGAGUGUAAGCGCCGCGAGGCGUUGAGCGAAGCGGUACUAAUCGUCCGAGAGGCUUGGCCAUAU
rnacentral:rRNA from 1 species